AUUGAACGCUGGCGGCAUGCCUUACACAUGCAAGUCGAACGGUAACGGGCCUUCGGGUGCCGACGAGUGGCGAACGGGUGAGUAAUACAUCGGAACGUGCCCGAUCGUGGGGGGUAACGAGGCGAAAGCUUUGCUAAUACCGCAUACGAUCUACGGAUGACAGCAGGGGACCGCAAGGCCUUGCGCGGGCGGAGCGGCCGAUGGCAGAUUAGGUAGUUGGUGGGAUAAAAGCUUACCAAGCCGACGAUCUGUAGCUGGUCUGAGAGGAUGAUCAGCCACACUGGGACUGAGACACGGCCCAGACUCCUACGGGAGGCAGCAGUGGGGAAUUUUGGACAAUGGGCGCAAGCCUGAUCCAGCCAUGCCGCGUGCAGGAUGAAGGCCUUCGGGUUGUAAACUGCUUUUGUACGGAACGAAAAGCCUUCUUUUAAUACAGGAGGGUCAUGACGGUACCGUAAGAAUAAGCACCGGCUAACUACGUG
rnacentral:rRNA from 1 species